rnacentral:lncRNA from 1 species
GAAAAAAUAUACAAGAACCAUUUCUAGAGUGGUAACAAUCUCCCGUGGGAAUGCCGGCAUUUCCUAGUUCCUAGCUCUUCCCUUUUAAGAGUGAUCUUCAUAAACAUGUGAAAGGCCAAGUGGCUGGGAUGGAGAUUUUCCUUUCUUUUUGGCAGCCAUUUUGACCUGAUGUGAUUCUGUUGAGAAAGAUGGCCUGCCUGUUGCAUAGAUACCGAUGGAAAGUCUGUGGAGGCAGGAAAUCUAAGCUCCACAUUUAUUCUCUGAAUCUUCUUUUAGGUGUUCAGGCACUUCAGGACCUCUCACCUCUGUGAAGGGACUUGGGAGACACCCAGAAAAUGAUGAAAAAUGGAGUGAAUGAGACAUUAAGCCAGUUGUGCACCAUUACCCAGCUCGCAGCCCCAUCUCCUGAGGCCAGUUGCCUAGUGGAUGCUGGAGGCAGCAUUUGGACUCAGGCAGUCGAAUCCCAGAGCCCGAAUCCUGCCGUUCUCACUGUCAUCCUGGAGCUCCAGAGCCUGUGGUCACUCAGCUGGCAACCUCACAGGCAGGCCAGCCCCUCCCCAAGCUCAUUUUCCUUAUGGCCUUGCACUGACCUCAACUUUCUUGGACAUCAAAUGUGAGAAUGGUGGUAACCUUGAGUUAAACACAGAUGGCUCCGGAAACACAUGUCCAGAAGUGUCUGCCUAAAAAGUAUGCUUGCAGAGGUCCUGUGAGGUGUCCUGACUCUUGGCCAAUGGCUGCAAUUCCAUUGUUCUUAUCACAAGCCUGUAUCGUCAACUCAAAGCCCAUUAGAGUCAUCAGUCCUUCACCUCUGCCUGAGACACAGACAGUCUGCAAAUCUGGAUGCUUCACGUCUCAAUCAGCCUCACAUCCACCUGUCCUAGCACCUGAGACACCGGGACCCAGCAGGGCACCCACUCAGUGGCAUCUCCCAGGACAAGCCAAAUAUCAUCCCCCCACUGAGACCCACUGGGCCGCUCCAGGUGUUUCCUUGCCUCCUCUUCUGAAAAUUCGGGACCGCCAUACAGACACCUCCCGGCUCUUCUGUGUGGUCAGGCGCCCUGUCCAUCUUCCUCGCGCUGACUCUCCAGACUCUUUGGAAAGAGUAAAUCCGUGUGCAGAGCACCUGGCUCCAGAGCUUUGGGGCCUCAGGUACGGCCACAUCCCCAUCCUAGCAGCUCUGGCUCAGAGGCCUUCCGCGGGGUCUCAGGGCCAAGGCUGGCCGAGUGUUCCCUGCCCCACAGGCCCAGCGUGGAAUCUCGUUUCUGCCUUCUGCAGAGGGCAGCCUGGAGAGCGCCUCCCGCCACCUGAGAACCAGAGAGGAUGCGAGGAGCCACCGAGAGAGGUCCAGGGCCCAAGUUAG